rnacentral:lncRNA from 1 species
AGCAGAGUCAGUCACUGGAACACAUGAAACUAAAUCAUCAGGAGGAUUGCUAAAGGACUCCAGAGCUUCUUCCAACGCUACUGAUUUCAGGGACAGGUUCUGACUGACAGCCAAAAUUUUUAAAAGGAGGUCCACAGACUAACUCUGUCCCUCUGGGUUCUAGCUCUCAGUCAGGGUUCAUGGAAACAGAACCAAGCAGAGUUCCUCCCCCUAAUGACUAUGGUAGAGCUGGCCCAAGCAAGAGAUCCACGUGGGAAGGACAAAAAGCAAUGCAAACAGAGAUGGGU